AGAGUUUGAUCCUGGCUCAGGACGAACGCUGGCGGCGUGCUUAACACAUGCAAGUCGAGCGAUGAAGCUUCCUUCGGGAAGUGGAUUAGCGGCGGACGGGUGAGUAACACGUGGGCAACCUGCCUCAAAGAGGGGGAUAGCCUUCCGAAAGGAAGAUUAAUACCGCAUAAUAUAUUGGAAGCACAUGCUUCUGAUAUUAAAGAUUUAUCGCUUUGAGAUGGGCCCGCGGCGCAUUAGCUAGUUGGUAAGGUAAUGGCUUACCAAGGCGACGAUGCGUAGCCGACCUGGGAGGGUGAUCGGCCACAUUGGAACUGAGAUACGGUCCAGACUCCUACGGGAGGCAGCAGUGGGGAAUAUUGCGCAAUGGGGGAAACCCUGACGCAGCAACGCCGCGUGAGUGAUGAAGGUUUUCGGAUCGUAAAACUCUGUCUUCUGGGACGAUAAUGACGGUACCAGAGGAGGAAGCCACGGCUAACUACGUGCCAGCAGCCGCGGUAAUACGUAGGUGGCUAGCGUUGUCCGGAAUUAUUGGGCGUAAAGAGUAUGUAGGCGGAUAUUUAAGUCAGAUGUGAAAGCCCCGGGCUUAACCUGGGGACUGCAUUUGAAACUGGAUAUCUAGAGUGCAGGAGAGGAAAGUGGAAUUCCUAGUGUAGCGGUGAAAUGCGUAGAGAUUAGGAAGAACACCGGUGGCGAAGGCGACUUUCUGGACUGUAACUGACGCUGAGAUACGAAAGCGUGGGGAGCGAACAGGAUUAGAUACCCUGGUAGUCCACGCCGUAAACGAUGGAUACUAGGUGUCGGGGGGACCACCCUCGGUGCCGCAGCAAACGCAUUAAGUAUCCCGCCUGGGGAGUACGGUCGCAAGAUUAAAACUCAAAGGAAUUGACGGGGACCCGCACAAGCAGCGGAGCAUGCGGUUUAAUUCGAAGCAACGCGAAGAACCUUACCUAGACUUGACAUCCUCUGCAUUACUCGUAACUGAGGAAAUCCCUUCGGGGACAGAGAGACAGGUGGUGCAUGGUUGUCGUCAGCUCGUGUCGUGAGAUGUUGGGUUAAGUCCCGCAACGAGCGCAACCCUUAUUGUUAGUUGCUACCAUUAAGUUGAGCACUCUAACGAGACUGCCUGGGUUAACCAGGAGGAAGGUGGGGAUGACGUCAAAUCAUCAUGCCCCUUAUGUCUAGGGCUACACACGUGCUACAAUGGUCGGUACAACGAGAAGCGAGACCGUGAGGUGGAGCAAACCUUAAAAAGCCGGCCCCAGUUCGGAUUGCAGGCUGAAACUCGCCUGCAUGAAGUUGGAGUUGCUAGUAAUCGCGAAUCAGAAUGUCGCGGUGAAUACGUUCCCGGGUCUUGUACACACCGCCCGUCACACCAUGAGAGUCGGUAACACCCGAAGCCCGUGAGGUAACCGAAAGGAGCCAGCGGUCGAAGGUGGGAUUGAUAAUUGGGGUGAAGUCGUAACAAGGUA
rnacentral:rRNA from 1 species